rnacentral:rRNA from 1 species
CCGGCACGGGUGAGUAACACGUAUCCAACCUGCCGUCUACUCUUGGACAGCCUUCUGAAAGGAAGGUUAAUACAAGAUGGCAUCAUGAGUCCGCAUGUUCACAUGAUUAAAGGUAUUCCGGUAGACGAUGGGGAUGCGUUCCAUUAGAUAGUAGGCGGGGUAACGGCCCACCUAGUCUUCGAUGGAUAGGGGUUCUGAGAGGAAGGUCCCCCACAUUGGAACUGAGACACGGUCCAA